AGUGAACGCUGGCGGUAGGCCUAACACAUGCAAGUCGAACGGCAGCACAGUAAGAGCUUGCUCUUACGGGUGGCGAGUGGCGGACGGGUGAGGAAUACAUCGGAAUCUACUUUUUCGUGGGGGUUAACGUAGGGAAACUUACGCUAAUACCGCAUACGCCCUACGGGUGAAAGCAUGGGAUCUUCGGACCUUGCGCGAUUGAAUGAGCCGAUGUCGGAUUAGCUAGUUGGCGGGGUAAAGGCCCACCAAGGCGACGAUCCGUAGCUGGUCUGAGAGGAUGAUCAGCCACACUGGAACUGAGACACGGUCCAGACUCCUACGGGAGGCAGCAGUGGGGAAUAUUGGACAAUGGGCGCAAGCCUGACCCAGCCAUACCGCGUGGGUGAAGAAGGCCUUCGGGUUGUAAAGCCCUUUUGUUGGGAAAGAAAAGCAGCAGGUUAAUACCCCGCUGUUCUGACGGUACCCAAAGAAUAAGCACCGGCUAACUUCGUG
rnacentral:rRNA from 1 species